CUCCUGGUCCUUUGCACCAGUUCUGGUGCCUGUCUGAUCCUUUACUGAGGUGGUUCGGAGAGCUGGACUCGCAUCAGUGAAGAGCAACAAACACCUCCAACAAACAGUUCAUCCAUUGUAGAAGAGGAGACUGGAUCUUCUUCAUCAAAUCUCAAUGGAACAGAUAGUUCAUCAUCCCGUAUGUCCAUAUUUGUUGUUUUGCACUCACAGCCCCAUGGAUGAACAGUUUGUUUAAAUGUUCCCUAAAUUGAGCCUCCUACAGUGAGGGUCAGUCUUCCUUGCUCCAGACAUUCUCCCUGGUGUCAUGGACCUGGGAUUGCUGAAGGUCAGUCUUCUAGUAAAGGCAGAGGGAAGGAGACACUGAGUGCCUCAUCCUUCUUCCUGUCCCCAGGUACCCUGCCCUACUCAGCCAUGAGCCUACAUAUUCCACUAAGUUCCUUUUGCAGCUGCUGGAUGUGUUACCCUUUGUACUGCUUGCCAGAUUCAGCUUUGAGUGGGCUUUUGUUUUUCUAACCCCAUCCCUGUACACAGAGCCUCUCCAGUCAACUCCCUCAAGGGAGCUGCAUAGCUGUCCUUCUUUGUGAGACUUAACCAGCCUUUUAAAGUCUGGUUUUCUUGACACACUCAUCCCUUGAGACUCCCAUGAUAUGUCAGUUCCAAUUACAGAGGAGGAAUACCAUGAUUUAUUUUCAAAGGAUAAAAAAGUAUCUCUAGCAUGUUUGAGGGAGCGGGACACCAGAGAAGUUAAGACAUUCUGUGGAGCACAAUGUGCUUUCCAGUAGGGUUCAGAGAAUUUCACAAUUUCUGCUAAAAAGAUGAGUGCAUGGAGAGAUUUCUUUUCUUGGAAAAUGUAAUCACCUCAUUCAUCAAUGAAAAGUGAGGGGUUUUGAAAAACUGAAUUUACUGUGAAUGCAAUGCCCUGAAAUUAAGAACACUAACUGCCCGCUUCGAAGGACUGGCAGCAAAGUGUGUUCCUUUCACAAUGUAAAGUAUAGCCCUUGGACAAGCUGCAUUUUAACACAAUAUAAAUGAGCCUUGUACAGCACCUUGCUUCUGAGGACACUUGUUCUUGGCAUAUGAAGAUGCCACCCUAUAAGCUUGGGAAAUCCUGUGUCACAAAAUAGCUCUGGGUUGGCCAGAGACUAUAAAUCAUGUUUUGGAAUUUGGAGUGUUAUCCAAUAUGAAUGAGACCAUUCCUUUUAUAUAAACAACUUUCUAUUUUUUUUCUAUCCAAUAUGCUGGUGCUAAAUAUAUCAUACUAAUGGGCUCUGUAGGCUUGCAGUGGAUUUCCUCUUGUGACUCAAUAUUUUUUCUAUUAAUUUAUUUUUUAUGCGUUUCCACUCCUAUUCUUAGCAGCACAGCAUGUAUCCUCACUAUAAGAAAGAGAAAAACAUGAAGAUGAAGAUCAAGAUGAAGAUCAAGAUGAAGA